rnacentral:rRNA from 1 species
CCUACGGGGGGCUGCAGUGGGGAAUAUUGCACAAUGGGCGCAAGCCUGAUGCAGCCAUGCCGCGUGUGUGAAGAAGGCCUUCGGGUUGUAAAGCACUUUCAGCGGGGAGGAAGGCGGUGAGGUUAAUAACCUCAUCGAUUGACGUUACCAGCAGAAGAAGCACCGGCUAACUCCGUGCCAGCAGCCGCGGUAAUACGGAGGGUGCAAGCGUUAAUCGGAAUUACUGGGCGUAAAGCGCACGCAGGCGGUCUGUCAAGUCGGAUGUGAAAUCCCCGGGCUCAACCUGGGAACUGCAUUCGAAACUGGCAGGCUAGAGUCUUGUAGAGGGGGGUAGAAUUCCAGGGGUAGCGGUGAAAUGCGUAGAGAUCUGGAGGAAUACCGGUGGCGAAGGCGGCCCCCUGGACAAAGACUGACGCUCAGGUGCGAAAGCGUGGGGAGCAAACAGGAUUAGAUACCCGUGUAGUC